rnacentral:rRNA from 1 species
GACGGGGCCCGCACAAGCGGUGGAGUAUGUGGCUUAAUUCGAUGCAACGCGAAGAACCUUACCUGGUCUUGACAUCCCGGAGACCCUUAGGAAACUAGGGGGUGCUUCCAUCUGGAAGAAUCUGGAGACAGGUGCUGCAUGGCUGUCGUCAGCUCGUGUCGUGAGAUGUUGGGUUAAGUCCCGCAACGAGCGCAACCCUUGCCUUUAGUUGCCAGCAGUUCGGCUGGGCACUCUAAAGGGACUGCCGGUGUUAAACCGGAGGAAGGUGGGGAUGACGUCAAGUCCUCAUGGCCUUUAUGACCAGGGCUACACACGUACUACAAUGGCCGAUACAAAGGGCAGCGACACUGCGAGGUGAAGCCAAUCCCGUAAAAUCGGUCUCAGUCCGGAUUGGAGUCUGCAACUCGACUCCAUGAAGUUGGAAUCGCUAGUAAUCGUGGAUCAGCAUGCCACGGUGAAUACGUUCCCGGGCCUU